rnacentral:rRNA from 1 species
AUUGAACGCUGGCGGCAUGCCUAACACAUGCAAGUCGAGCGAGCGGCGGACGGGUGAGUAAUGUAUGGGAAACUGCCUGAUGGAGGGGGAUAACUACUGGAAACGGUGGCUAAUACCGCAUACGAUCCGAUGGGCCCAGAUGGGAUUAGCUAGUAGGGGGGGUAAUGGCUCACAAAGGCGACGCUCCCUAGCUGGGCUGAGAGGAUGAUCAGCCACACUGGAACUGAGACACGGCCCAGACUCCUACGGGAGGCAGCAGUGGGGAAUAUUGGACAAUGGGCGAAAGCCUGAUGCAGCCAUGCCGCGUGUGUGAAGAAGGCCUUCGGGUUGUAAAGCACGUUCAGCGGGGAGGCGUUACCUGAAGAAGAAGCACCGGCUAACUCCGUGCCAGCAGCCGCGGUAAUAC